GAUGAACGCUGGCGGCGUGCUUAACACAUGCAAGUCGAACGAUGAAGCCCAGCUUGCUGGGUGGAUUAGUGGCGAACGGGUGAGUAAUACGUGAGUAACCUGCCCUUAACUCUGGGAUAAGCCUGGGAAACUGGGUCUAAUACCGGAUAGGAGCGUCCACCGCAUGGUGGGUGUUGGAAAGCUUUAUCGGUUUUGGAUGGACUCGCGGCCUAUCAGCUUGUUGGUGAGGUAAUGGCUCACCAAGGCGACGCCGGGUAGCAGGCCUGAGAGGGUGACCGGCCACACUGGGACUGAGACACGGCCCAGACUCCUACGGGAGGCAGCAGUGGGGAAUAUUGCACAAUGGGCGCAAGCCUGAUGCAGCGACGCCGCGUGAGGGAUGACGGCCUUCGGGUUGUAAACCUCUUUCAGUAGGGAAGAAGCGAAAGUGACGGUACCUGCAGAAGAAGCACCGGCUAACUACGUG
rnacentral:rRNA from 1 species